rnacentral:rRNA from 1 species
CUGGCGUCCUUCGGGCGUCCGAGUUGUAAUCUAUAGAAGUGUUUCUCCCGUGCCGGACCAUGUCCAAGUCCCUUGGAACAGGGUAUCAAAGAGGGUGACAAUCCCGUACUUGACAUGACCACCGGUGCUCUGUGAUACACUUUCUACGAGUCGAGUUGUUUGGGAAUGCAGCUCAAAAUGGGUGGUAAAUUCCAUCUAAAGCUAAAUAUUGGCGAGAGACCGAUAGCGAACAAGUACCGUGAGGGAAAGAUGAAAAGCACUUUGGAAAGAGAGUUAAACAGUACGUGAAAUUGUUGAAAGGGAAACGAUUGAAGUCAGUCGUGUUCUUUGGACUCAGCCGGUUCUUCCGGUCUAUUUCCUUUGAACGGGUCAACAUC